rnacentral:lncRNA from 1 species
CCCCCGAGUUCUUACAUUAGCCUAAUUUGUUCCAGCCUGAUCUACAUCAUCAGAUAGGUCCAAAUCCACGGUAGUGUAAUCAUUUUGGUAUUACGAAGUACCUCCAUACUAGAUACCCAUCUUGUGGAUUAGGCUUUCACAAACGAGGUGAUCUUUAUCAGAAGUCUCCGUGAUGAUGGUGUCAGACACAUCAAUAUGCAGAUAAUCA